AUAAAUAAAUUAUUAAAAAUAGUUAAUAUUAAAAGGGUAUAAUAUUAUGUAAAAUUAAAAUUGUUUGUUUUUAUAGUAUUAGAAGUAUAGAAUUAUUGUUUAUUAUAGUACUGUGAAGGAAAUAGUAGUAUAAAUUUUUUUAUAGUAGAUUUAUUAUUCGUACCUUUUGUAUAAUGGGUUAAUAAUAUAUUUGACUUUAAUAGAGGUUAAUCUCGAAUUGAAAAGAUUUACUUAAUAUAUUAUUAUGUUAACGUUGUAUAGUUAUAUAUUAAAUAUUAAGUGGUAAUGAUAUAUUUAUCGAUUUUCAGGAUAGCUAGUUUAUUGAUUUAAAAUAUUUAAGUAUUGUAAUAUUAAAAUAAUUUUUAUUUAUUUAGUAUUAUUUAUGGUAUAGGGGAUAAGCUCUAUAUUAUUCAAUAGAAUUAAAUUAUAGUAUAAUAAAUAAUUAAAGUAGAGUUAAUAAUGCUUUUCUUUAUAAGUAGUUUAAAUUAUAAAAAUUUUGAUAAUUCAGGUAUUAUGUAGUCAUAAAUGUUUAUAAAUUAUUUUAAAUAGAUAUAAUGUUAAUAUGAGUAUUUAUAUAAAUUAUAAAUUUAAUUGUUUUAAUUGGGUAUAAUUAAAAUGUUUAUGUAUAGGGUAAAAUAAAAUAAAGGAAUUCAGCAAAUAUUAAUCUCGCCUGUUUAUCAAAAACAUGUCUCUUUGUAUAUUAUAAAUAAAGAGUCGGGCCUGCUCGGUGAUAGAAUUUUUAACAGCUGCGGUAUUUUAACUGUACUAAGGUAGCAUAAUAGUUUGCCUUAUAAUUUGAGGCUAGAAUGAAUGGUUUGACGAAGGUUAAUCUGUCUCUAUUUUAUUUAAUAGAAAUUAAUUUUUAAAGUGAAAAAGCUUAAAUUUUUUAAAGGGACGAGAAGACCCUAUUGAGCUUAUAAUUUUAUUAGUAUUAUUAAUAUAAUAUUUAAUAAAUUUUAAUUGGGGUGAUUAAGGAAUAAAUUAAUAUUAUUAGUAACUUCCUUAAGUAGUAGGAUAGGUGUAUAAAUUAACCAAUAAUUGUAUUGCUUUUAUCAAAGUUACCAUAGGGAUAACAGCGUAAUUUACUUAAAGAGUUCUUAUUGAAAAGUAAGAUUGCGACCUCGAUGUUGGAUUAAAGUAACCUUAAGGUGUAGAAGCUUUAAUAGGUAAAUCUGUUCGAUUUUUAAAACUUUACAUGAUCUGAGUUCAGACCGGUGUAAGCCAGGUUGGUUUCUAUCUUUUAAAAUAUAAAUAUAGUUUCUUUUAGUACGAAAGGACCAAAGUUAACUAAAUUAUUAAUUAUAAUAUUAAUGUAUAAGUAAACUAAUGAAAUUAGAAUAUUAAAUAAAAUUAAUUUAC
rnacentral:rRNA from 1 species